rnacentral:lncRNA from 1 species
UUUUUUUUUUUUUUUUUUUGUGUGUGUGUGUGUGUGGGGGGGGGGGGGGGGGGGGGGGCAGUUAGCAUGCUCCCCUGAAACUCUGUAAGGUGCAUUUUUUGUGCCUUUGCUGUAGUUAGGGAAGCAGGGCUGUAGGGUUGCUUGCAAGUGCUCCUGCAUCACUUAGAAUCAACUUUCGUUCUUAAAGCAAUGAAAUAGUAGACUAGGGUAUUAUAUACUUAUGUCCUUUCUUCCUCGUCCAGGAGGAGUAUGUUGAUGGAGACAAUCUUGGGAGACUGGACUGCGGGCACGACUUCCAUGUUGGCUGCAUCAAGCAAUGGCUGGUGCUGAAGAAUGUGUGCCCCAUCUGCAAAAGCACCGCGCUGAAGACCUGAAACUGAACCGAGGCUCGUCAGAGGACACCCAUGUUCUAUGUUCAUUCGAUCGCAAGAUCAUUUACCGAUUCAUAUUGCUGUGCUUUUUGGUUGGGAAAUUUUGCCACUCACCUUCGAUUGGGAAAGGAAUUUUUUUUAAAAAAAGGAGAGAAAUGGUCCCUGUAAACUGCUGGUGCAGUAAAUAAUCCCUGGAAUAUGUCUCCCUGCAUUUAACCAAAUAUUUAUGGCUGGUAUAAUGGAUGUCGUAGGUUUAAAAACUUCAAACGAUUGCAUGCUGCCGCCCUCGUGCCAUAAUUUUGCUUGAUCUGGAUUUCACGUGCUGGCGCAGCGAAGAACCUCAUGAUGCCUGCCUUUUUUUUUCUUCCAUGGAGGAUGGUGCUUGCAUUCAGAGUUCCAGAGUCAACUUGUUUGAGAACUCAACAAACAAGGCACGGCGCCGUGCUGAGUUUUCCAGGCACUAUUGCUGUGCUGGCCUUGGAUGGAUCCCCCAUGCUUUCGUUGCCCCUGCACUUGUUCCUUGUCGGCGACAGGCGCCUUGCCGCGAGAGCCCGGCACGAACGCAACUCCUCGGCGGCUGGCUCGGCGCCGUCGCUGUCCACCCAUGAUCCAUCCACCCAUCCAGAGGGGGGAGUCGCUGGUCUUCUCGUCCGGUGGCUAAGUGUUAGGGGCUCCCGUUGUGGCCACACACACGGCGCCAUCCCUGAUGGGUACCCGCCGCGCCCGACGCCGCACAACUGGAUGCAGCGCGUCCGCCUCGGCGUGACGGCUAGGCUCAGGGUUGAGUCGCUGUAUUCUCACCUGCAGGGCAACGUCUCCGUUCGUCCCGACUCGUCACGUCUCCCUGCAACGUGUGCUAGGUUUUGGUGAGGCUUGUGCUAGUUACUUUGGAGCUGCAGGAUUCCGAAGCUUCUAGAUCUUUCUGGAUGCAUCCAGAGCUCUGAAACCUACGGCUGAUCCGUUGUGUUUCUGAAGACUUGAAGUUCAUUCGUAUGGCUGGGAAGGUUAGAUGGGCUACGUUUGCUGCGGGCUGGGCUUUAGUUUCCUUUGUGAUGACACAAACAGGCCCAUCUCUCUUCAGGAAAGCGUCUGACGAGUGACGAUAGAAAUUGGCCGGAGCAAGACGGCGGCGGAUUUUGUGUGCGGCUGACGGUGCGUGCGCCCGAAAUGAGGUUGACGGAAGGCGGAAACAAUUGCUUCGUUGACACGAUGACUUGCUGGUUUCGUGGGUGGCGUGUUGGGUGUGAUUGGGAGGCUGCCAAAGUGGCCGAAAAGGGGGAGCCGGUGGCCACAAACGGCAGCUGCAAAUCGCCUUCCGGCAAUUUCCCUUUUCAUUCGCGCAAUUGCAAGAACAGCUAGGCUGGUCGUCUCAUCUGGAAGAGGGGGGAGCUCGACCUGGACGGCUAUGGGGAAAAAAUCUGAAAGAGGAACGUAUCCAAAGGAGAAUUGAGAUUUCAUACUUAGGACUAGUGGAAAUACUCGACGAAAAAUGAAAUUUGUGUCAAGAUUCUAGUACACAAAUGUCACGCAAAAAGAUAGGCUCCAUGCUUCAAUUGCUGCACCCUGCAAAGAGUCAGAAUUUCGAUGUCCGUCCAGGUUGUGUUUGAGUGUUCAGUGUUGUGUAGUGCAUGAUGGGCAGAGGCGGCCCGGCCCUACCUGAGAGGCUGAGAGAGUAGUACAUGAUGGGCAGUUCACUGUCCCUCCGACACUAUCUAUGAGAAGUAGCAGAGCCGUGGGGAACACACGCCGGCAGAUCUCAAAUGAAAACCGCCUCGCUGUCCUCUCUGCUCCUCCGGUCCAUGUUUGCAUUACUUGCCGCAUGUGCCCAUCUGAUCAGUUGCGCUCGCCUUCGCCGCCGCCGCCCAGGCCCAUGAAAAUCACGCCCGCGCGCACGACGGGUGCCACCGGGGCAGCUCAGACUUGAGAUCGAUCAGAGCCUCCGUCCACCUCCAGGGCGCACGGCGAGACGCUCUGCGGCCGCGGGAUCUACGGCCGGCACGGCUGCCACCCUGACUGAACUGAACCAUGGCCAGGGGGUGCUGGGGCGGCGGGGCCGGGUCGAUGCCCAUGAACGCCGACGGCUCUCGGUGGCGGUCGGGGGGCGUCGGCUUCGUCGUUGAGCUACAGAGGAAGUUGGUGGUAUACUUGUCAUGCACAAGGCGGCGAUCCAUCACGCAAGAUGACGCGCGGCUCCCUUCCGCUUCCGUCGCCUUCCCUUUCGAAUGUGGUGGCCUAACCCCCACCCAACCCGACCCGACGCGACGCCAUCGGGAUCACCCAUGCAACGCAAGCAUCGUUAGCACCGGCACUGUCGCCCCGCCCUAAUCCUCCACUACCUGAUCACCAACUCACCCUCACGAUUAAUUAGCGACCAGUACUGCUAGUAGUAGAUAAGCUAGACCAUCCGUAAGCAUGGCUUGUUCAUCCACCCGUGACCGGUCCAUGAUUGCUUCCACCGGCACCGGAACAAACGAAGCCACGAAGAAGCGCGGGGAGAGGUUUCCGGAGUGCGGCGGGGUUGGCGGCCGGCGGGGGCGGCCUGACCUAACGCGGAUUUGCGCACCAACCGACAACUAAUAACCGGAGAGUAGAUAAUAAACAAGCAAAGGGCGGGCGGACGCGGGCGAGCGAACAACUGGAUCACGUCAAGCGGUAAAGGAUUAAGAAAAAGGCAAGCACACACAGGGGGAUCGGAGGCGAGGCCCGAUUCGAUUUGAUUAACCAAACGUACUAGUGGGAGGUGCUUGCUAAUCGCUGCUGCUUAUCUACUCGGAAACGAGAGAGAGAGAGAAGGAUGAUGACUUGUUUUUCUUAUCGCUGUUACAGCUGUCCUUUUUGACAUUUGGAAAGACCGCCACUUGUGGCCGCCGUCUCCGCCCUCCCCACGCCGCCCAAGCCCGGCCCAGCCAGCUGCCCCCCCUCCCUCGUGCUUAUCCACAACGUACCGAUCGAAAACCCUUCGCCCCGCCGCCC